GACCCUCGGCAACGGAUAUCUCAGCUCUCGCAUCGAUGAAGAACAUAGCGAAAUGCGAUACUUGGUGAAAAUAUGUUUUCACCUUCCUAUCAGAUUAAGCACAACGAUAUGAAGAACAAUGACCAGGCUUUAAGGGAAAUUUUGGAUUUCCUGCGAGAGAUAAG
rfam:Beta vulgaris subsp. vulgaris Bvchr2.sca014.con0327.1, whole genome shotgun sequence.